AGUGUGGUGUAUUUUGGAGGCCUGUGUUAUUUAACUCAGGGUCCUUAAGUAUGGUACUAAAUUACAUUGUGCUGUCACAUGGACUUAAAAGCAUUUUAAAAUAUGUGUUGGGCUGGAUCUCGAGAUCUCAUGAAAUGAAUCCAUCCAUGAAGCCAGGCGCUUCCAAGCAGACACAAGGCCCUGUGGAAGGCCUGAGCUCAUGGAGAAACUCCCGCCAUUUUGUCUCCUGUUUCUCGUCAGGUCGCCUGCCAACUCCGAGUCCCCCAAUCAGGGCGCCCAGAGGAACACAUGGUCCGCGGGGCUCCUCAAUACUCUCGCGUGCCACACGCCCCAUUUCAAAUAAACACCCGGCUCCACUUGGCGCUGUGAGGCCCGCCAUCUGCCCAAACAGCGCAAGGCGGAAAAUAAAUGCCGCGCUCCUAAACAAAUAAACCUUCGCGCCAUUCAAGCGCGGGAUAAAAUACGAUUUAUCCUCGCCAAAUGUAAACACGGCGACAGGGCUCUGAAUAUAUGAGGAGACCCGUGCAAUGAGUCUGCGCAUCAACCUUACAUCCAGCAGAGGGCGAUACAGCACCAAGAUGCAGCUGGAACAGACAGCCUCCAAAAGAGGGUCUGAGGCCUUUUUCCAAAUCUCUGAUUUAAACCACCUCAUGUACGCUGUGUGCUCCUGGCCUCGCCUUGUGUUUUAGCUUAACCAUGAAACUCCAUGAAUUUGAGAAAUAUGAAGAGAAUAAGAUGAUUGGCUGUCUUUGCGUUCCGUCAUGCAAGAGGCAGGGCUGUCACGGAAAUCUCUCCUUAUAGGGAUAUAAUUGAGUAAUGAAUGAAGCCCUGGAGUCAUAGUAAACAGCAUCUCUAGUACUUCAGGAAUUUUAUCCAACAUGGAGGAUGAAGAGAUUUAUCCUGAUCUUCAUGUUUGGCCUCUGCCGACAGGAGCGUCAUGGUGGAUCCAGCAGGUUGACUGAGUCGUUUUGUUCACCCUGCUUUAAUGAGUUACAGGAUCCACUUUGUUCCGGCACAGAGCUGCUUCCCUCCUCCCAUCCCUGCAGAGGCCUCUCUUUUACAACCUCAGGUGCUUCUGGAUACACUUAGUGCUCACUGUACGUCACCUGGGAAUGCACGGGGUCAACCCUUUCCUGACCUCCCACUGGUAUCUGUGCUCAUACAGCCACAAAAAGAAAGAACAAGAAAAACAAAGUGCCCUAUAAAGUCUCUCUUAUAAUGUGGGAGAAGUCAUUUCACAUCUUCAGGUUUUUUGUUUUUGUUUUAUUUUAGACUACGUAUUUUUUUAGACAAAUGCAUUUUACAUGUGUUCAUGUAUAGGGCUUGUAAUCAAGAUAUUUUAAUAUUUUUUCCCCCUAUCUCUAUUGUAUAAUAACAAUUCCCAUAAAUUUAUGAAAUUGAAUUAAUACAUUUUCUUACAGUAAUUUGACUACCAUGGUUGAGCUUGACUAAUGCAGUAAACUAUUUUUUAUUU